UACGUAGGGUGCGAGCGUUGUCCGGAAUUAUUGGGCGUAAAGAGCUCGUAGGCGGUGUGUCACGUCGAUCGUGAAAACUUGGGGCUUAACUCUGAGCUUGCGGUCGAUACGGGCAUCACUGGAGUUCGGCAGGGGAGACUGGAAUUCCUGGUGUAGCGGUGGAAUGCGCAGAUAUCAGGAGGAACACCGGUGGCGAAGGCGGGUCUCUGGGCAGUAACUGACGCUGAGGAGCGAAAGCGUGGGGAGCGAACAGG
rnacentral:rRNA from 1 species